AAUAACUUUUUCAAUUAGAAUAUUGUAACAUCCAAUGACGUAUCUACUUUUAUGUUAACUGCAUUGUGUUUUGUGGUAUGGUUUUUGUUGUUGUUUCUCUCUGUGUCUCCUGCUCCUCUGGCUCCUCCCACUCUUUCCACUCUGGCAGGUAGCUGACUGCCCUUUCCAGCUGCACCUGCUUACCAGCUGAGAGAGUAGCAGUUUAGAAGAGAAUUUCUCUCCAGCGCAUGUCCUGUGUCCAGCCCUGCCCAGCUCAGUUUGUUGAAAGCCUUUUAGACUUUGUGCACUGUGUUUACUGCAGGAUACUCAGCCUACAGCUGUGUUACCAAACUGCUUAAGCAGUUACUCUCCCGAUUGAUUGUUUGUUACCCUGUAGAGAGGAUGUAACAGAGGUUCACAGUUUUGAGGAUGUUUUCCAGCUGCUGGUCAGUGAUGCCUUUCUCCUGCAUCUCCUGAACAGAGUGAGGAUAGAUGACCUGAUCUCUCAGCGUUCCCACCGACAUAUAAGUCCUGAUAUACAGAGACGUCCAGUGAACUGCAAGUGGGCCAAAUGACAAGCAGCUGCUGGUCUGAAAUGAUGUUGGACACAUCCCGUUGUGUGAUCAUGCGCACGAAGCGAUGCUGUACUCCUGUUGGGUUUGUAAUGAAGCCGCCAUGUAACGCAGUCACAGGAGCACCAUAUGUGCUGACUGCUUUUUGAUUGUGCUCCUCUUUUUAAUCAGCACACUCAUCAGCGCUAAUUAACCUGGCACGGAGGGGAAAUGGAAAUAAACACAUGCACGCAAACCCACUUUUCUGCCUUCUAAUUGAUCUUAAUUCUCAAACAAAAUCAGGCAGACCGCAUCUCAGUACUGGGUCCUGAACCUGCACAAAGAGAAAUCAACAGCCUUCUACAAUCAUAGUAGUCCUAUUUGUACACUACUGGCAUGCUCAUAAUAUUCUGUAUGCAAGAUUAAUAUUAGCUCAUCUCAAAUCAUAGUACAAUGACAAAAACUCAUCAAAGUUGCCUGGAUGACAUAUUGGUUUUCAAAUUGUGUGGUCAUGCAUUUUUUAAAAUCUUUUUGUUUGUUUGGUUUUGUUUUGUUUUAUUUUUUGCAAAAAAACGCAAGGAUGAAGCUGCUUUGUUGCUUUUAUAAAGCCAAAAAUGACUAAAUUUAGCCAAAUGCUAACUCUCACAUGACAAAGAGAUCUGUGGUAUCAACACAAAAUUUUAUGACAUCUGUAGUGUCUCCCAAUUCUGACAUACUCUUUUACAGCUAAAGCUGAGUAACAUAGUGUAACAAGGAAAAAUAUAUUAAUAUCUCAAUUUUCUGUCUUUUUAUUUUUAUUUUUAAUGUAUUUGCACCAAAAUGGCUAUUGUUUUCAAAUUACUAGAUUUUAACAUUUGGUCCCUAUUUAUGGCAAUGAUGACAUUUGGCUCCCUUUAUUCUGAUUUACAGAAUUAUUUAAUUACUGAAUUAUUGAAUAUGAUCAAAUU